rnacentral:rRNA from 1 species
GACGAACGCUGGCGGCGUGCCUAAUACAUGCAAGUCGAACGCAGUGGGGACGGGUGAGUAACACGUGGGUAACCUCCCAUCAGAGGGGAUAACACUUGGAAACAGGUGCUAAACCGAUACUGAUGGAUGGACACGCGGUGCAUUAGCUAGUUGGUGAGGUAACGGCCCACCAAGGCCACGAUGCAUAGCCGACCUUAGAGGGUGAUCGUCCACACGUGGACUGAGACACGGCCCAGACUCCUACGGGGGGCAGCCGUAGGGAAUCUUCGGCAAUGGGGGGAACCCUGACCGCGCAACGCCGCGGUAGUGAAGAAGGUUUUCGGAUCGGAAAGCUCUGUUGUUAAGGAAGCGGUACUUAACCAGAAAGGGACGGCUAACUACGUGCCAGCAGCCGCGGUAAUAC